UUUUGCAAAAGAAUAAUUUUUAAUUGAUGUGAGCAUGAAUAUUUGUUAUUGUUUGUUUACUUGUGUGCAUAUUCUAAUUGAGAUUUUUUUUCUCUUAAUAAUACUAAAUUACAUUUAUUAUUAGCUAAAUCUGAUAAAUGGUCUUAUUCCUAUUUUAGUUGCAGCCAAACAAGGUGAAUCUGACCCAGAAAGGAAAGAAACAAGACAGAAAGUAGAUGAUGACAGAAAACACGAGAUAGAAGCUGCUAUAGUGCGGAUAAUGAAGUCUAGGAAGAAGAUGCAGCACAAUGUUUUAGUAGCAGAGGUAACUCAGCAACUGAAGGCUCGAUUCUUACCAAGUCCAGUUGUUAUUAAGAAACGUAUUGAAGGACUUAUUGAGAGAGAAUAUUUGGCACGAACACCUGAGGAUCGCAAAGUAUACACAUACGUAGCAUAAAAUGCAUUCAGAAAUUUGAUUUAUUCUUGGACUGUACUCUUCGCAUGGACUGGGAAGUUCUUUUAAAUCCUACUAUUAAGACGACCAUCUCUUCUGUUAAAUUGCAGUACAUGUUAUAGACCACUCAGAUCAAGCCUCUACUCCCUCUGAGAGUUUUCAACAUCAGUUGAUUGAGCUUCAGGCUUUCCAACGUUAUCCCUGUAGAGAUCAUCUUUACAGUUCCUCGGGAAAAUGUGAAUGUGCCGCGUUUUGUUUUCAAUAUUGUAUGAAAACAGGAAAAAAAAUAAAACAAAUUUAGAAAAC
rnacentral:lncRNA from 1 species